rnacentral:rRNA from 1 species
GACGAACGCUGGCGGCGUGCCUAAUACAUGCAAGUAGAACGCAGUUGCGAACGGGUGAGUAACGCGUAGGUAACUGCCUCAAAGCGGGGGACAACGAUUGGAAACGAUAGCUAACACCGACUACUGUGAGAUGGACCUGCGUUGUAUUAGCUAGUUGGUGAGGUAAAGGCUCACCAAGGCGACGAUACAUACCCGACCUGAGAGGGUGAUCGGCCCAACAUGGACUGAGACAAGGCCCCGACUCCUACGGGGGGGAAGAGGAGGGGAAUUUUGGCAAUGGACGGAAAGCUGACCGAGGAAAGCCGCGGGGGUGAAGAAGGGUUUCGGGUCGUAAAGCUUCGGUGUUUGGGAAGCGGUAACUAACCAGAAAGGGACGGCUAACUACGUGCCAGCCGCCGCGGUAAUUC